CCGGGGCCAACCGUUGAUAACGGCCGGCGCUGAGGGGAGCGUCUGCCGCCGUCCUUCGCCGCCGCUCCCGCAUGGGCUCCCCGCCCGCGGCUCUUCCCGCCGCCACCCAUUCCCCCUGCGGGGCAGCGGCUGCGGGGGAAGGGGGCACAUACGGCCCCCCGGCCGCGCCCCGGCUGGGCACUGGGCACGUUCGGUCUGAGGGGCAGCAGUUGACAGGUUGCUGCUUUGAAGUUCUGAGUACGUCCUGCUGCCACUCGUGUCACGGGAAGUGGAUAGCUGGUUCGGUGCUUGGCCGCUGACACAGAUGACAGGACAAAGGACUAUACAUGGAAGUAAGAUGAAAAUUCAGAACAGAUGUCAGGAAGCAUUUUUCAAGCUGAACGUGCACAGUGGCCAACCAGGUAAGGCAAAAGCAUUUUCCCACUUAGGAAAUAAUUAGAUGGCCUGUCAUACACAAAAUGGCUUUCCCAAUUUCCCUUUUCUCUUAAUUUUCUUACAUUCUUAUUAUACUUCAGCUGCUAUUCACUUUUCUCUGAGUAGAAGCUUCAUCAUCAUCCAGACAUGAACCUAGUUCUUUUAGAAAUGAAUGAACUAUUAACUGCUAAGUGAACAGCUACUUAGCUAGAUAUUUUCCUGUCAAUACUAUAUCAUCCUGUUAAAGGUCCAGCAAUGCAUACGUUUUGAAGUUCAGAGCUUCUGAAAGUUUUUAUCACAGUUGCAAAAUUGAGUCUAGGAGAAAAUCAGAAUGACAGAAAACAUGCUGGCUUUAUUAUCUUAAAGUCCGAUUAUUUUAAGUAAUAAAAAUGUCACACAAAUUAAUCUAGGAGAAACUUGGAAAAAACCCAAAUUAAAACCAGAAUUAAAUGGACAAAUGUUCUCCCUGCCUACCCCCCAAGAUGCAUCUGUUUCUGGAAUCUUCUUUUUAGUUGAGGCUUUGUUUCCAAAUCUCAUAUAGACUUCCUCUGUAACCUUGUUGCCAGUCUUUUAUAACCUCAUGCCUCAUCUUUUGUGUUCAUAGAAUAGAAUACUUUUAUUUUGCUAGGUGAAAGAGUGUGAAACUGUAAUUAUUUCGGGCACUGACAUACGACAUCAGCCAGCACUAAGUUAAUUUAUUGUGCUUGUGAUCACCAUUUUAGUAAAGUUUGGCCCAUUACAAGUUCAUAUGUUAAAGCUAUUUGAGAGUGAUUGAUCGAUAAUGCCCACUGAGGACAAUGUUAAGACUCAGACCUAGAAACUGAGUGUCUUUGGUUUGUAAUAGAUUUUUCCAGGAGCCAUUAAGUGAGGCCUUUAAAAGACUUGUUCAACAAAUCGCUACAACAGCAGGCUGUGUUUCCAAGCUAAUGAUUUCCACCAUGUCUGCCCCACCUCAAGCUCCCAUAGUUUCAAUGCUAAAUGGUGUCACCAAUAGUCUCAAUUUAAAGCCAUUUAUGUGAUAAUUAAAUAAAAGAACUUGAUUUUCGUAUUUGUGGAAAUUGCUCAGCGAGGUUGUUUCUGGCUUGCUCCUUAAAUAUGAAUUCCAGCAUUAGUAAUAAAAAUUGAAAAUGUCUUAAUUAGCAAUGACCAAUUUAGACAUAUAAUUAUGGAUAUUUAAAAAAAGCCAGUGGUGCUGAAAGAUAGUAGCUCUGAGCAUUGUUCGCUGAAGAUGUUGUUCUAAAGAGAAUGAUCGUUUCCAUCUUUCAAGUAAUUCAGCCUUCAAUUGAAUAAAAUGCCCGAGGAAAUAAAGCUAAUUUUUAAUGCUGUAUGGUGGCAAUGUCAGUUGCAGCACAGAGCAAGUGCAAUUUUGUUGAUUUUGGAAUUGGUACAGGACUUGCUUAAGUUAAAGACCAGCUAGGGAGCUAAAA